CGAUCUCGAACCCGACUCUCUCUCUCCAUCUCUCCAUCUCGAACCCAGCUCAUCUCAUCUCGAAGCUCUCUUCUCCAUGGCAUCUCAUCUCAAAGCUCUCUCUUCUCCAUAGCUUCUCGUUCAGCAUUUGCGGCAAAUAAGUGUGUUCUGUGUUCAGCCUCUUGUCUCAAGCUUCUCUCAAGCUCUCCGAAGCUUCUUAAGAGAUCUUAGAAACGAGGCUAAGGAGCUCAAUUGUA